GCUUUCUUUGCUGACGAGUGGCGGACGGGUGAGUAAUGCUUGGGAAUCUGGCUUAUGGAGGGGGAUAACUGUGGGAAACUGCAGCUAAUACCGCGUAUUCUCUGAGGAGGAAAGGGUGGGACCUUAGGGCCACCUGCCAUAAGAUGAGCCCAAGUGGGAUUAGGUAGUUGGUGGGGUAAAGGCCUACCAAGCCUGCGAUCUCUAGCUGGUCUGAGAGGAUGACCAGCCACACUGGAACUGAGACACGGUCCAGACUCCUACGGGAGGCAGCAGUGGGGAAUAUUGCGCAAUGGGGGGAACCCUGACGCAGCCAUGCCGCGUGAAUGAAGAAGGCCUUCGGGUUGUAAAGUUCUUUCGGUAAUGAGGAAGGGAUGUUGUUAAAUAGAUAGCAUCAUUGACGUUAAUUACAGAAGAAGCACCGGCUAACUCCGUGCCAGCAGCCGCGGUAAUACGGAGGGUGCGAGCGUUAAUCGGAAUAACUGGGCGUAAAGGGCACGCAGGCGGACUUUUAAGUGAGAUGUGAAAUCCCCGAGCUUAACUUGGGAACUGCAUUUCAGACUGGGAGUCUAGAGUACUUUAGGGAGGGGUAGAAUUCCCCGUGUAGCGGU
rnacentral:rRNA from 1 species